rnacentral:rRNA from 1 species
UACAGAGGUCCCGAGCGUUGUUCGGAUUCAUUGGGCGUAAAGGGUGCGUAGGCGGCGGGGCAAGUCUGAUGGGAAAUCCCGGGGCUCAACCCCGGAACUGCAUUGGAUACUGCCUUGCUCGAGUACUGGAGAGGGAACUGGAAUUUACGGUGUAGCAGUGAAAUGCGUAGAGAUCGUAAGGAAGGCCAGUGGCGAAGGCGAGUUCCUGGACAGUUACUGACGCUGAGGCACGAAGGCCAGGGGAGCAAACGGG